rnacentral:lncRNA from 1 species
UCAGGGAUGCAGGCAAUGAAGGUUAUUUUAUUUGGGAUGCUAAACGCAGGGGGGACCAUUACACCAGCUAAAGUACAUCGAUUUCAAGUGAAACAGGGAGGAGAAAAAUCUUUUUACCUCCUCCAGCUGAAUUAUGUUGGCCGUUCAAACAAACAAACAAGCCCAUCUUCAAACAGUGGGGAGGCUGGAGCAAAACUUCCCUCCUCGCUGCAGUUUCCAGGUGCUUUUACUCAAGAUUUGAUUUUUAUUCCUGUCUUCCUUAUUUGAGAAUCAGGUCUGUGGCUCUGCAAGGGACCCUUAUGCCAGAGCUCUUUCCUGUGCUGAUUUUUCAGAUGACUUUAACCGUAAAUCACAUGUCCCCCAAACUAUAUCCCAACUUCACCAAGUCCCCAGCCACACAAAGAAAGGCCUAGUUGGGUCCCGUGAUGUAACCUAAGUUGAUAUUCCUCAUAAAUCUACAUAGUUAUUCCAGCGCGAUUACAUUCAUAUAUUCACAUUUCCAAUUCAAGGUUGUAGAAGAAGUGUAAUUUUAAAAAAACGAUUAUUUAUACUCUUCAGUGUCCAGUCUUGAGGGUUCAAGAAGACAUUCGGACGGCUCUCAGUAGAACGUAAUCUUCUAAAGAGCACAUGCAGUUUAUUAAGGACAAUGCCAUCGUGGCCACGUGACUUGUAAGUGCAACAUUCGAGACGUUUGCUGUAAUAAUUAAACACCACAAGAGAACUUUUUAAAAACUCGAGUCUAAUUAAGGUUUGUCCUUCAGGAAAAAGGUGACUCCAUCUCUAAUGUGAGUAUUCAUGAGCUUUUCAUUUUAAGAGGGCUAGUUUGUGGGUAAACAGAUGCCUGAAGAGACGGUCACAGGAGGAGCUCAUGCAGUUUUAAUAGAUGGCAGUGCUGCGGCAUCAGAAAAUGAUGCCGGCUGGAGUGACAGCGUCUGAUGACUGUACCCUUGGUCGGCUCUGUUUUUAUGAAUGGUCUUAGGGUUCUCCCUUCCUGCCCAGGUCGGUGAUGCUGGCUGGAUUUGGGAACCCAUCAUUUUAUCUUCCAGGUGACAGUCCUCUCAUGGGGUGGCAUCCGUUUUCUCCCUUAGCAUCCUCUAAAUGCUUCUCCAAGAAGCCACCUCCCACAGGGCUCGUGCAGUGAGGAAGGAGGAAGUGAGGAAGGGAGGAGGUGAGCCCCUCCUGCUCCGUAGCACCCCCAACAUCCGCCUCUCUCUGGCCCAGGCUCCUUUACUGCUCCCAUAGCUUCCCCCCCUCCCCCUGACCCCUCCCUCCCCUGACUUCUUCCUCCCCCCUCCCCCUUCAUUCUCUUCUUCCUCCCCCCCUCCCCUCCCCCUCCUCCCCUUUCUCCCCGAAGCCUGGGGGGCCUCCAUUUCAGCCACACACUUCCUCGGUCCACUCAGGAAAACCAAAGCCCUACAGUGAUGGGCCCUCCCUCCUUGCGAAGAGCAAACCCCAUCACUCUCCUGUCCCUGGACCACAGAAGCUGGGGUGAGGGUCUCACCCUCCAGCCCAAGGAGCUACCCAGGGGUCCUUUCCAGGAAUACCUGGCACUUGGCCAGAAAGAUUGUCACCCACAUGCAGGUUGCUGCUCCACGGCCCUUACUGCCAGCUCUGGGUUCCUUUUGUUACAGGCUUCAAGUCCCCUUCGAGAAGAUGAACCCCCAAAGCCUCAGGCCACGUCUCCUUGCAAUGCUGCUUCCCCCACCUUGACCCGCCUGGGCUGCUCACUCCCUGCUGGGAGAGGUACGUGGCCCAGGCCUCACCCGCCCCUGCGUCACCUGUUCUCCAUGCAGAUAAGGCCUCCUGCCCAUGACCAAUCUGAGCAUCACGCUGGGUCUCCACCCUGGUCGCACCGUGGGUCCUGGAGACCAUUGCAAGUGAGCCGGGCCCUCUGGGAACCUGCAAGCCUCUGACUCCUCUCUCCCUCUCUGAAAGUGUGCUUUCGCCUUGAUAAAGGUAUAAAGCAUCUGCAGUUCCCGUGCUUUGCCUUGGUGAGACGGGGAGAUGGGGAGACAGGGAUCGAGCGAGGAAUCUGUGAUGUAUCAUUUUAACACCAGCAGUUCGCGGAUUUUUUAAUCUCAAGUCCGCUUUACACUCUUUAAAAUUGAGGACCCCAAAGAGCUUUUGUUUAUGAGGUCAUUUCUAUUAAUAGUCACCCAAUUAGAAAGUAGAACUGAGAAAGUUGAACAAUAUGUAGUCAUUCAUGGGAAAAUAACAAUAAUAAACCCGUGACGCAGCACCCCUAAGUAACGUUUUAAUGAAAACUAACUUUACUUUUCCAAACCUGAGAAGAAUGGCGUUAUUUUACAUUUUUGCACUUUUUGGCAAAUCUCUCUCUGGCUUAGGAGAAGGCAUCUGGGUUCUCUUAUCUGCUUCUUCAUUCAGUCUUCUAGGAAGCAUCUGGAAGAUUCUGUCCAGCAAGCAGGAGAGAAGGAGUGUGAACAAGGCAAAUAACAUUUUCCUAUUAUUAAAAGAGCUAAUGGAGGAGUUCCCGUUGUGGCUCAUCAGAUUCAUUUCUGCCACGCCAGGAUGGGAACUCCUAUUUUUUCACAUUUUAACUGCUCCAAAGCCAGGAGAAGCAUGUCUCAAAAGUCAAGGCUUGGAAAGGAAAGGAAAGGAAAAAAGAAAGUAGGAAGGAGAGAAGGAAAGGAGGGAGGGAGGAAGGAAGGAAAGAAAGAGACACCUGGGAAGGCAUGCAUUUGGUUGUUGUUCCUAUACCCUGAGUGGAAACCACUGUCCCUGGCAUCUCAGUCUCCAUGCUACUGUCCCUGGCACCUCAGUUGCUGUACCACUGUCCCUGGCAUCUCAGCCUCCAUGCCACUGUCCCUGGCAACUCAGUCUCCAUGCCACUGUCCCUGGCAUCUCAGUCUCCAUGCCACUGUCCCUGGCACCUCAGUCUCCAUGCCACUGUCCCUGGCACCUCAGUCGCUGUGCCCCUUAUUUGAGAAAGGUGGAUGAGAAUUGGGAUUGUCUAAAACUUCCUGUUGAUAUUCAGGUAACAUUCAGGAAGCUCAGCCUAAACGCUUGCAAGAAGGUGCCAGGGCUGGGGAAUUCCUAGAGACCACGGUAGGAAACCACUCUGGUGGCAGGAUAAUGGUCCCCUCAAGACGUCCGUGUCCUCGUCCCCAGAACCUGUGAAUAAGUUGCCUUGUAUGGCAGAAGGGACUUGGCAGAUGUGACUAAAUUAAUGCCCUAGAGUUUAGAGGAGCAGCCUGGAUUAUCCAUCUGGGUCCGGUCUAAUCAUGUGCAUUCUUAAAAUCAGAGUACCUUUGCCAGCUGGGGUUGGGGGGAGCCAUGAUUACAGAAGAACUGCCAGAGAGGUGCAAUGCUGCCAGCUUCUGAGAGGGAGGAGGGGACCACAAGCCCAGCUUCCGAGAGGGAGGAGGGGACCACAAGCCAAGGAAUGCAGAUGACCUGAGACCCUUGUCAAGGUGAGGAAACAGAUUUUCCUCUAGAAGCUCCAGAAAGGAAAGCAGCCCUGCUGGCACCUUGAUUUUAGCCCAGCCAGACCCAGGUGAGACUCUGACCUCAUAAAAUACAUGCUGUUUUAAGCCACCACAUUUGUGGUCCUUUGUUACAGCAGCAAUAGGAAACUAAUACG